CCUACGGGGGGCAGCAGUGGGGAAUAUUGCACAAUGGGCGCAAGCCUGAUGCAGCCAUGCCGCGUGUGUGAAGAAGGCCUUCGGGUUGUAAAGCACUUUCAGCGGGGAGGAAGGCGUUAAGGUUAAUAACCUUGGCGAUUGACGUUACCCGCAGAAGAAGCACCGGCUAACUCCGUGCCAGCAGCCGCGGUAAUACGGAGGGUGCAAGCGUUAAUCGGAAUUACUGGGCGUAAAGCGCACGCAGGCGGUCUGUCAAAUCGGAUGUGAAAUCCCCGGGCUCAACCUGGGAACUGCAUUCGAAACUGGCAGGCUAGAGUCUUGUAGAGGGGGGUAGAAUUCCGGGUGUAGCGGUGAAAUGCGUAGAGAUCUGGAGGAAUACCGGUGGCGAAGGCGGCCCCCUGGACAAAGACUGACGCUCAGGUGCGAAAGCGUGGGGAGCAAACAGGAUUAGAUACCCUAGUAGUC
rnacentral:rRNA from 1 species